rnacentral:rRNA from 1 species
AUUGAACGCUGGCGGCAGGCCUAACACAUGCAAGUCGAGCGAGAAAGGUCUUCGGACUGAGUACAGCGGCGGACGGGUGAGUAAUGCGCAGGAAUCUACCUGGUAGUGGGGGAUAACUCGGGGAAACUCGAACUAAUACCGCAUACGCCCUACGGGGGAAAGCGGGGGACCUUCGGGCCUCGCGCUAUCAGAUGAGCCUGCGUAGGAUUAGCUUGUUGGUGAGGUAAAGGCUCACCAAGGCGACGAUCCUUAGCUGGUCUGAGAGGAUGAUCAGCCACACUGGAACUGAGACACGGUCCAGACUCCUACGGGAGGCAGCAGUGGGGAAUAUUGCGCAAUGGGCGAAAGCCUGACGCAGCCAUGCCGCGUGUGUGAAGAAGGCCCUUGGGUUGUAAAGCACUUUCAAUUGGGAAGAAGGUUAGCGUGUUAAUAGCACGUAGCUGUGACGUUACCUUUAGAAGAAGCACCGGCUAACUCCGUGCCAGCAGCCG